UACGAAGGGGUCUAGCGUUGCUCGGAAUCACUGGGCGUAAAGGGUGCGUAGGCGGGUUUUUAAGUCAGGGGGGAAAUCCUGGAGCUCAACUCCAGAACUGCCUUUGAUACUGAAGAUCUUGAGUUCGGGAGAGGUGAGUGGAACUGCGAGUGUAGAGGUGAAAUUCGUAGAUAUUCGCAAGAACACCAGUGGCGAAGGCGGCUCACUGGCCCGAUACUGACGCUGAGGCACGAAAGCGUGGGGAGCAAACAGG
rnacentral:rRNA from 1 species